GAUGAACGCUGGCGGCGUGCUUAAUAUAUGCAAGUCGAGCGAACAGACGAGGCGCUUUCCCCUCUGACGUUAGCGGCGGACGGGUGAGUCACACGUGGAUCACCUCUUUCUUAGACUGGGAAAACUUCGGGAAACCGGAGCUUAUACGGGACAAUAUAUUGCACAGCAUGGUUCAAUAGUGACUGUCGGCUCUGCCGUUACUUAUAGAUCGAUCCGCGCCGCAUGAGCUAGUUUGUAAGGUACAGGCUUACCAAGGCAACUCUGCGUAGCCGACCUGAGAGGGUGAUCUGCCACACUGGAACUGAGACACGGUCCAAACUCCUACGCGAGGCAACAGUAGGGAAUCUUCCGCAAUGAGCGAAAGCUUGACGGAGCAAAGCCGCGUGAGUGAUGGAGGUCUUCGGAGCGUAAAACUCUGUUAUUAGGGAAGAGCAAAUGUGUAAGUAACUAUGCUCGUCUUGACGGUACCUAAUCAGAGAGCCACGGCUAACUACGUG
rnacentral:rRNA from 1 species